AGUGUCAAUGAUGUAGUAAUGCUGCGAAAAAGCUUAACUUUCUGUGUAGAAAACAACCUUGGAGAACUGAGCACUCU
ensembl:snoRNA SNORD39 Small nucleolar RNA SNORD55/SNORD39